rnacentral:misc_RNA from 1 species
UUUCCGUAGGUGAACCUGCGGAAGGAUCAUUACUGAGUGAGGGCCCCUCGGGGUCCAACUUCCCACCCGUGUUUAGCGAACCUUGUCGCUUCGGCGGGCCCGCCUCACGGCCGCCGGGGGGCAUCUGCCCCCGGGCCCGCGCCCGCCGAAGCCACCUGUGAACGCUGUCUGAAGUAUGCAGUCUGAGACAAUUAUUAAAUUAAUUAAAACUUUCAACAACGGAUCUCUUGGUUCCG